AUGCAAAUAAGAACAUUCGUUUGCUGUAAUGACCAGUUUUUCCCCUAUUUCCAACAGAGCACAACGUGCACUAGUAAGGAGGAAGAGGAGAACUUAUCUGCAUCAAAUAAAACUGUUUCAGACGUCCUGAUUAGCCCGGGGUCCACAGAUGAUGAAGACCCAGAAAUAUACUUUUCCUGUGUCAGUGACACCCAACAGGAGGAGCAGGCUGAAGAGCCCCUGGCGAUAGUCGGCCGGCCAGGCUCACCUUUAGGUGUCGCAGGUCACCAGGUACAUCUUUCUCUUUUGAAAGAGGAAAAAUUACCACCAGUUCCUGAUGUUUCACAUGGACCCUGUCUCCUCUUCCAACUAACAGAGCCCAGCGUGUCCUGCAGGGGUGGGAGGAGAGGACAUGUGUCCACUCGACAGCCCCUCUUCCCCUAAGACCAGCAUUGAUGUCGAGCAAGCUGUAAAAAUGCUCCUUCUGAACUUAACAUUGAUGUAUUUUUGACUUUGUUUUACUUGAUUGAUCUGACGUUGCUUUAUUCCUGGGGUCCACAGAUAAAAAAGUCCCAGAGAUAUAUUGUUCCUAUGUGGUCUCCAGAAGCAGAUUAGAAAGUGCGAGAACCCUUACGCCUGAGGAACUGGCCUGUUAUGGGUAAAGAUUUUAGCAUAUCAUCAUCACCAUCCUCCUCCUCCUCCUCAUCAUCAUCGCUUUGCUCUGUUUUUCUUGUGUUUCAGGCUCCCCAACCUGUCCCAGACCUGCUAUAUGACCUCUGUUCCCCAGAGCCUCCUGACCCUCGUGCCUUUUGUGAAGGAGCUCAACAAACAGAGUCAACAGUGGCUUUCGCACCCAAACGCUCUGCUUUCCAAGUACAGCACAAGCUCACGUGCCCCUGUUAUUCUAUGGCAUUAAUGCAAUGAAUGAAAGACAUCUGCUUUCUCCAGGUUGCUCACUGACAUGAACAACAGCUUCACAACAAGAAAAGGAAGCAGAAGAAAUCCACCCUCUUCACGUUCCUGCGCACCAUUGCUCUGCAACACCCAGACUCUAGACUUCAUUUCUAUCAAAUUAUGGAGACUGUAAUUUUUUUUUUUUAACUAAUUUUUAUCAGGAAAGAUAUUCAAGAUCAUUCCCCUCCCUGCCCUGUUUGGAUCUUAUGUGUUUCUCUAAUUUUUUUGAGCAGUGUAUAUACUGUAUAUACAAGGUCAGAGCACAACAACUUCUUAAAAAAGUUAAAGAACGUCAUAAAAAGUUGAAAUGCGUGGCCACUGCCAAUGAGAAAUAGAGGUAAACUCAACAGCAAACAACAGAUGUUUUGUUCCCUUUUUCCUUUAAUUCUCUGCUGCGUCAAUAAUCUGCACCCAGAGACGUGCAGAGAUUCCUCAGGUUCUGCAUGUAAUACAUUUCCUACUUCAGUGGGGCUUCAGUGCCAAUAUUUACAGCUCCCUAGUCAACCAUAAGAGCCACGGGUACUAAAACGCUUAUAUCCGGUGCUACAAUUAAAUCUGCUAGCAUUGAGGGUGAUACAUACCAUAAAACAUUUAUGCCAUAAGUCGGUGGCAUCGUGUGCACAUGGCGUUCACUACCGCUGUUCUCAAACAUUCCCAUGUGACUGAGAUCACGCAGCAUCAUUUAUGCAAAAGGUAAAAAUCAACCUCCCUCCAUGUUUUCACAUGUUUGACAUUUUUCUUAAUCCCUGAACGCAUUUCCCCCUCAGUUAAAAGUUUUGUUUAGGCUUCAACUUUAGAUUUAAAACUUAGAACACCAUAUCAGACAUUAGUUCGGCUC
ensembl:lncRNA